rnacentral:rRNA from 1 species
UACAGAGGGGGCAAGCGUUAUUCGGAAUUAUUGGGCGUAAAGGGCGCGUAGGCGGCUUGGCAAGUGGCUGGGGAAAUCCCUCGGCUUAACCGAGGAACUGCCGUCCAAACUGCUUCGCUUGAGACCGGGAGAGGUGAGUGGAAUUCCCAGUGUAGCGGUGAAAUGCGUAGAUAUUGGGAGGAACACCAGUGGCGAAGGCGGCUCACUGGACCGGUACUGACGCUGAUGCGCGAAAGCGUGGGGAGCAAACGGG